rnacentral:rRNA from 1 species
UAGGGAAUCUUCCGCAAUGGGCGAAAGCCUGACGGAGCAACGCCGCGUGAGUGAUGAAGGUCUUCGGAUCGUAAAACUCUGUUCUUAGGGAAGAACAAAUGUGUAAGUAACUAUGCACGUCUUGACGGUACCUAAUCAGAAAGCCACGGCUAACUACGUGCCAGCAGCCGCGGUAAUACGUAGGUGGCAAGCGUUAUCCGGAAUUAUUUGGCGUAAAGCGCGCGUAGGCGGUUUUUUAAGUCUGAUGUGAAAGCCCACGGCUCAACCGUGGAGGGUCAUUGGAAACUGGAAAACUUGAGUGCAGAAGAGGAAAGUGGAAUUCCAUGUGUAGCGGUGAAAUGCGCAGAGAUAUGGAGGAACACCAGGGGCGAAGGCGACUUUCUGGUCUGUAACUGACGCUGAUGUGCGAAAGCGUGGGGAUCAAACAGG